UAUAAACUGAAACAUACGAUACGGCUAUUGUAAGUUCAACCUACAUAUUUUAUACGGGAGACUUCGUUCGUAUGUGAAUAUGAUAUGCUCGACCUAUAUAGCUUGAGAUUUCAGAAAGCGUAAGACGGGUCACCCAUCUGGGUGAUGCUCGGGUGUGAAUUUGAUUGGUCUACGGUGUUUUGGUAGUAAA
rnacentral:other from 1 species